ensembl:scaRNA Gm24644 small Cajal body-specific RNA 21
UGGCUUGGUUUCCUAGGGGUUGGACUCAGUGUACUCCACCUCCUCUCAGUUAAGUCUGUAGUAGAGAGGCAAGAGCACGUGUGUGGGAGAGGUGCUUACGAAAGGAGCCCUGCCUGGGCUGUCCUAGCCUCCCAUCU